GUUCCGUAGGUGAACCUGCGGAAGGAUCAUUAUUGAAAUAGCACGACGGGAAGCUGUUGCUGGCCCUAGUGGCCGUGCACGCUUUCUGUCCUUCAUUUCUCCAUCUAUUUGUGCACCUCUUGCGUAGACCCCUCUGUUAGGACUGCUUUGCAAAAUUGAUUGUGGGCUUUCCUUGUUUCUACGUCGUCAUAUACACCAGUGUAACGAUUUGGAAUGAAUGGAAUUUUGAUGCAAUAUAUAAAGCACAACUUUCAGCAACGGAUCUCUUGGCUCUCGCAUCGAUGAAGAACGCAGCGAAAUGCGAUAAGUAAUGUGAAUUGCAGAAUUCAGUGAAUCAUCGAAUCUUUGAACGCAUCUUGCGCUCCUUGGUAUUCCUAGGAGCAUGCCUGUUUGAGUGUCAUAAAUAUCUCAACCGCACCCUAUGGUGGUGUGGCUUGGAUUUGGGGGUGGCAGGCUUAGUCUGCUCCCCUGAAAUACAUUGGCGGUGCCCGACGUGAUGUGAUAAAUUAUCCGCAUCUGUUUAUGAGCUGCCGUGUCGUGUUGGAGUUGAUAAACUUGACCUCAAAUCAGGUAGGACCACCCGCUGAACUUAAGCAUAUCAAUAAGCGGAGGAAAAGAAACUAACCAGGAUUCCCUUAGUAACUGCGAGUGAAGUGGGAAGAGCUCAAAUUUGUAAUCUGGUGGCCCUUGGCCAUCCGAGUUGAAUCUAAAGAA
rnacentral:rRNA from 1 species